CUAGUAUUCUCUCCAUACGAAAAUACUUGUCAUUAAAAUGGAUAAAAAGAGAUAUAUCUAGAACUAAAAUACAUCUAGAUACAUCUUCUUUUAUUUGUUUUGAUGACAAGUAUUUCGGAGGGACUACUGU
rfam:Triticum aestivum genome assembly, contig: Triticum_aestivum_CS42_TGACv1_scaffold_499391_6BL